UACGGGGGGUGCGAGCGUUGUCCGGAAUCACUGGGCGUAAAGGGCGCGUAGGUGGUUUGAUAAGGGUGUGGUGAAAGUCCGGGGCUCAACCCCGGAUCUGCCGUGCCGACUGUCAAACUCGAGGGCUGUAGAGGCAGACGGAAUUCCGGGUGUAGCGGUGGAAUGCGUAGAGAUCCGGAGGAAGACCAAUAGCGAAGGCAGCUCGCUGGGACGUUACUGACACUGAGGCGCGAAAGCGUGGGGAGCGAACAGG
rnacentral:rRNA from 1 species